GAUGAACGCUGGCGGCGUGCCUAAUACAUGCAAGUCGAGCGAACAGACGAGGAGCUUGCUCCUCUGACGUUAGCGGCGGACGGGUGAGUAACACGUGGAUAACCUACCUAUAAGACUGGGAUAACUUCGGGAAACCGGAGCUAAUACCGGAUAAUAUAUUGAACCGCAUGGUUCAAUAGUGAAAGACGGUUUUGCUGUCACUUAUAGAUGGAUCCGCGCCGCAUUAGCUAGUUGGUAAGGUAACGGCUUACCAAGGCAACGAUGCGUAGCCGACCUGAGAGGGGGAAGGACCACCUUGGAACUGAGACACGGCCCAACUUCCAACGGGAGGCAGCAGUGGGGAAUCUUCCGCAAUGGGGGAAGGCCUGACGGGGAAACGCCGCGUGAGUGAUGAAGGACUUCGGAUCGUAAACCGCUGUUAUAAGGGAAGAACAAUGGUGUAAGUAACUAUGAACGUCUGACGGGUACCGAAUCAGAAGGCCAGGCCUACCUACGU
rnacentral:rRNA from 1 species